rnacentral:rRNA from 1 species
UACGGAGGGUGCAAGCGUUAUCCGGAUUCACUGGGUUUAAAGGGUGCGUAGGUGGGCAGGUAAGUCAGUGGUGAAAUCUCCGAGCUUAACUCGGAAACUGCCGUUGAUACUAUUUGUCUUGAAUAUUGUGGAGGUAAGCGGAAUAUGUCAUGUAGCGGUGAAAUGCUUAGAUAUGACAUAGAACACCAAUUGCGAAGGCAGCUUACUACACAACGAUUGACGCUGAGGCACGAAAGCGUGGGGGGAUCAAACAGG